AAAACCACCCCGUUUCAGCCCUCAGCCUCAGGGCUGAGAUUCAGGCUCAGGUCUAGGGGUUGGGGAAUAUUAAAGUUUACAAGUACAAUCUUACUCCAUCCAUACACACACGGAGAAGCCGGGAGAGGACGCGGCCAGAGAUGGGCUCCUGCCCUUGAACCCCUGCUGGGGUGGAAGCGGGUGCACAAUGCUUCUUUGAGUAUCUCCGUGUCUGUGGCUGAUAUCCAGAUGCAAGGCUUCUUCUGGGCAUCCCUGGGAAUGGGAGUGCAUAGACAUACUGGUCAAAUUACAGCACAGCCUCUACACCUUUACUGAAGAUGGAAAACUGUUCUCCAAAGUUGACUUGCCUAACAUGAUGUAACUAUCAUGCAAAAAUAAAAAUAAAAUUAAGAAUAAAAAUUUAAAAAUGAAA